UGGGGAAUUUUGCACAAUGGGGGAAACCCUGAUGCAGCGACGCCGCGUGAUUUAGAAGGCCUUCGGGUUGUAAAAAUCUUUUCUAUGGGAAGAAAAUGACAGUACCAUAGGAAUAAGGACCGGCUAAUUACGUGCCAGCAGCCGCGGUAAUACGUAAGGUCCGAGCGUUGUCCGGAAUCAUUGGGCGUAAAGGGUACGUAGGCGGGUAAGCAAGUUAGAAGUGAAAUCCUGUAGCUCAACUACAGUAAGCUUUUAAAACUGCUCAUCUUGAGAUAGGGAAGGGAAAGUGGAAUUCCUAGUGUAGCGGUGAAAUGCGCAGAUAUUAGGAGGAAUACCGGUGGCAAAGGCGACUUUCUGGCCAUAAUCUGACGCUGAGGUACGAAAGCGUGGGUAGCAAACAGG
rnacentral:rRNA from 1 species